AUGCCGUCGCGGACGUCCAUGGAUGCCGCCAGGACGGUCGUGGUGACCGCCUACGAGGAGCUGCCACGCCGCCGUUCCGGCAGCUAUAGCGCGUCCUGGUCGACCGCUCGAGCCGGGACGCGCGCGGCCGCGGGCGGCCACAACCGCCGGGCGAUGCUGCUCGCGUACGCGCAGCACCUGCGGCGGCGCGGCGGGCAGAGAUCGUAUUCGGGGCCGCCGCGCGUGCUGGAGUGGGGCGAAUGGAAGCGGGCAGACGAUCCCGGCGCCGGCGCCGGCAACGACGAUAAGGUGAGCGCGGCGGAUCAGCAAAACAUUUCUUAUUUCGUCGGAUCAUGCAUGCACGACGUGCAUCUAACGCGUGCUCAUGUCCUCGGUCGACCAGCAGGCGGUGGCGGGGCGGAGGAGGGGCUGCUGCUCCAGGCUCCGGCUGUGGGUGCGGCUUUGGAUCAGGACGUUCUUCCGUCGCGUCAGGAGGAUCAGGGAGAACGCGUCGUGCAGGAAAGCAGAUUGAACGUGUUGGUCAUGCAGGACGAUACGAGGAAGAUCAUUUGGUUGGUCAUCGGCGAAUUAGCGCCUGCAUCUGCAUCUGCAUGUGUCCUGGAAUUUUUCUGUAGCCGUACACGGAUCUGGAAGACUCCUGAGUUAGGACCUUCCAAAUUAAGAAGGAUAGAGACGUCUCAUCUCCCGUGCUCCACCGUCAAGCAAUGGCCGCGGGCAAUAGGCUCUAAUGCUAGUCGUUGGAUCCACGAUCCAACGACCCAGAAAUCCCCCGUAUCAUGGGGUCAUGGGAGGUGUGGGAGCACAUACUAUUAUCCCUUGGUUGAUGGUGCAGGGUCUGUAUUUUAUGCCACUGCGAUGGAGUCAGUGAUACCUCACGUAUCGACCUGUGGCUAG
rnacentral:rRNA from 1 species